UUUCUUUUUUUUUUUUUUUUUGAGAUGGAGUCUUGCUGUGUCACCCAGGCUGGAGUGCAGUGGCAUAAUCUUGCUUGACUGCAAGCUCCGCAUUCCGGGUUCAAGAGAUUCUCCUGCCUCAGCCUUCCGAGUAGCUGGGAUUACAGGCAGCUGCUCCCAACCCCAGAACCUUUGCUGUCUUGGGACGGAUCACCGCUGCAAGAGGGGAAGUUGCUACUGUGAUGAAUUCUGCCAUGUGGCACCAGACUGCCACCCAGACCACAGUGUCCUCUGCAACCCUGCUUCUCAGAUGACCAAGAUGGUGCUGCAGAUGGUGCUGAGGAUGGAGAACCCACCAAGCCC
rnacentral:lncRNA from 10 species